CGCCAUGCUCCCCUUCUACCUCUCCCGCUACGGCAACCCGCACUCCCGCACCCACCUCUACGGCUGGGAGUCGGACGCCGCCGUCGAGGAGGCCCGCGCGCGCGUCGCCAGGCUCAUCGGCGCCGACCCCAGGGAGAUCUUCUUCACCUCGGGCGCCACCGAGUGCAACAACAUCGCCGUCAAGGGCGUCAUGCACUUCUACCGCGACCGCCGCCGCCACGUCAUCACCACCCAGACCGAGCACAAGUGCGUCCUCGACUCCUGCAGGUACCUCCAGCAGGAGGGGUUCGAGGUCACCUACCUCCCCGUUCGCCCCGACGGCCUCAUUGACGUCGCGCAGCUCGCCGAUGCCAUCCGCCCCGACACCGGGCUCGUCUCCGUCAUGGCCGUCAACAACGAGAUCGGCGUUGUCCAGCCGCUCGAGGAGAUUGGCCGCAUCUGCCGCGAGAAGGGCGUGCCCUUCCACACAGACGCGGCGCAGGCUCUCGGGAAGAUCCCAAUUGAUGUCAACCAGAUGGGGAUUGGACUCAUGUCGCUGUCUGCUCACAAGAUUUAUGGGCCCAAGGGUGUCGGUGCGCUCUACCUGCGCCGCCGCCCUCGCAUUCGCGUGGAGCCACAGAUGAGUGGGGGUGGCCAGGAACGUGGCAUCCGCAGUGGCACGGUGCCCACGCCAAUUGUUGUUGGAUUUGGUGCUGCCUGCGAAAUUGCAGCCAAAGAGAUGGACUACGACGAGAGGCGAGUUAGUGCUCUGCAGCAGCGUCUGCUUGAUGGCAUCCGUUCCAAGGUUGAUGAUGUUGUCAUCAAUGGUAGCAUGGAGCACCGGUACGCGGGCAACCUGAACUUGUCAUUUGCAUAUGUCGAGGGCGAGAGCUUGCUGAUGGGGCUGAAGGAGGUGGCUGUGUCAAGUGGCAGCGCAUGCACCAGUGCUAGUUUGGAGCCUUCCUAUGUGCUCCGGGCGCUUGGUGUGGAUGAGGACAUGGCACACACCUCCAUUCGAUUUGGCAUUGGCCGCUUCACCACCGAGGAAGAGGUCGACAGAGCAACUGAGCUCACUGUCCAUCAGGUGCUUAAGCUCCGGGAGAUGAGUCCACUCUAUGAGAUGGCUAAGGCAGGCAUCGACAUCAAGAGCAUCCAGUGGUCGCAGCACUGAGACUCUUAUCACAAUGCUGUUCGCUGGACUGCUUUAGAUGUGCUCGGAUGGACACAUACAUAGGCACGUUUGGUAGUUGAAGAUAGUGUUGGCAUCCUAAUCAUAAUGAUAGAUCUGCGAAGAUGAUCGAUGAGUAUUAUGUAAGGAGGCAUGUUUGGCAGCACUCAAAACAAUCUGGCGAGAGUUAGAUUUGUUCUCUAGCUGGAAUGUAUCAAAACACGAAAUAAUGAUAUUUGCUGUUGUAUCUUUUGAAGGACAGUUUGAACUAGUUACAGCGCUGUGUAUGUAUUAUUGCUGCAGAUAUGGUUUUGGUAUUCUCUCAGUUUGUUAUGACAAGAGAUAUGUACUCUUUGGUUCUGAUUUUUUGUUAUUCUGGUAACAUCUCAAUAAUCUGGUGGGG
rnacentral:rRNA from 1 species